GGGGGUUGAACUCAUGAACCGUGAGAGCAUGACCGGAGCCAAAGUCGGAGGAUCAACCAACUUCCACCUCCCGAAGUACAUCUGCUCUCCUUAGGUGGACUUCGGAAAUGGGCAUUACUCAGGCUGGAGAUGAAUCAGCGCACAAUGAAGGAGACAGGCAGGGGAUCCAGACAAAGGAGAGAAGUAUUGAAAAAAAAUCCCCAUUUAUACCAAAUCAAGAAAGUGAUCCUUUCAGCAGAGGCUGUCUCAAGAAACUUCCACUCCUUCGCAAUGCAAAUUUAACUAAACAACUUGAUUUUCCCAUCAAGUUCAUUAAAAAUGGGAUAACUUCACA